rnacentral:rRNA from 1 species
UACGGAGGAGGCAAGCGUUAUCCGGAAUUAUUGGGCGUAAAGCGUGCGCAGGCGGCACUUCAAGUCUGUCGUCAAAGACUGGGGCUUAACCCUGGAAAGGCGGUGGAAACUGAAGCGCUAGAGUGCGGUAGGGGUAGAGGGAAUUCCCGGUGUAGCGGUGAAAUGCGUAGAGAUCGGGAAGAACAUCGGUGGCGAAAGCGCUCUACUGGACCGCAACUGACACUCAGGGACGAAAGCUAGGGGAGCGAAUGGG